rnacentral:tRNA from 1 species
GCGCGGGUGGCGGAAUUGGCAGACGCGCAGCGUUGAGGUCGCUGUGCCCGCAAGGGCGUGGGGGUUCAAGUCCCCCUCCGCGCAC